rnacentral:rRNA from 1 species
UACGAAGGGGACUAGCGUUGUUCGGAAUUACUGGGCGUAAAGCGCACGUAGGCGGAUUUGUAAGUCAGGGGUGAAAUCCCGGGGCUCAACCUCGGAACUGCCUUUGAUACUGCAAAUCUCGAGUCCGAUAGAGGUGGGUGGAAUUCCUAGUGUAGAGGUGAAAUUCGUAGAUAUUAGGAAGAACACCGGUGGCGAAGGCGGCCCACUGGAUCGGUACUGACGCUGAGGUGCGAAAGCGUAGGGGAGCAAACAGG